rnacentral:rRNA from 1 species
GUCAAGUGACUAAGUGCAUGUGGUGGAUGCCUUGGCGAUUACAGGCGACGAAGGACGUGAUAGCCUGCGAUAAGCUUCGGGGAGCUGGCAAAUUAGCUUUGAUCCGGAGAUUUCCGAAUGGGGAAACCCACCGAAAGGUAUCGUAUUCUGAAUACAUAGGGAUACGAGGCGAACCGGGUGAACUGAAACAUCUCAGUAGC